UACGGAGGGUGCAACCGUUGCUCGGAAUCAUUGGGAGUAAAGCGCACGUAGGCGGUCCGUUAUGUCGGGUGUGAAAGCCCUCGGCUUAACCGAGGAAGUGCAUUCGAAACUGGCGGACUUGAGUACCGGAGAGGGUCGCGGAAUUCCCGGUGUAGAGGUGAAAUUCGUAGAUAUCGGGAGGAACACCCGUGGCGAAAGCGGCUCUCUGGAACGGUACUGACGCUGAGACGCGAAAGCGUGGGGAGCGAACAGG
rnacentral:rRNA from 1 species